rnacentral:lncRNA from 1 species
UUGGAGGAGAUGGCGGACUGGACAGAGGAGAUGGGGCAAGAGUUGGCUUCUUCUUCUUGCUUGGUGCCGGAGCUGGCACGGCAGCCGGAGGAGAAGCGAGUGGUGCUGGUGGUGGAGUGGCUGGCGGUGGUGAGGCUGGAGGAGGAGAUGCUGGGGGUGGGGUGGCCGGGGGAGGUGAAGCUGGUGGUGGGGAAGCCGGAGGUGGAGAUGCAGGUGGUGGGGUGGCCGGUGGGGGAGUUGCUGGUGGUGGACUGGCGGGAGGAGGAGAGGCUGGUGGCGGGGAGCUAACUGGCGGAGGAGUUGCCGGAGGAGGAGAGGACGCGGGAGGUGGGGUGGCUUGCGGAGGAGGAGAGGACGUCACCGGUGGUGGAGAUGAUGUGGGUGGCUGCGAGUUGGCGUUUGGCGGCGGGGUAGUUUGUGCAGGUGGAGCCGGGGUUGCCGUCGGUGACCCGGCGGGAGACUGGCCCCCGACGCCGGCGACGACAAUGCAUAACAAUACAACAAAAAUGCUCGAUUUAUGAACCAUAUUUAACGUGCGCACCCUCUCUCUGCGCUCUGCUUAACCUGCGCACUCCCCGAGCGUUAAACAGAGAGUGUGAAGUGAAGUGAAGUGUUGUGCAGUGCAGCGCAGUGAGUGAAAUUGUGAAGAAAUGAAGACGGGAGGUGAUAGAAUAAAUAGGCGUUUAUUGGGAUCAAGAAAUGAAAGGAAGGUUCGGUGUUACUGGGACACUACCAAACAGAUCUGCGACGUCUGAUUAAUGGGGCCCGGUUGAUGUAUGCGGAGGGGUGGGAUCUGGAGCCACGUGGCGCAGUAAAGGGUUGUGCUGCUGCUACAGGUGAAAAGAACGGACAAGACAUGUGACUAAGUGAAUAAUGGGAGACCGUAGAUUUUUAAUACUUUUUAGUUGGGUGGUCAUCGAUGAUGAUAAUUGAUUCUUUGUUAGUUGCCAUCAUCAUUUUUUUUUGUUAAUUUAUUUAUUUU